GUUCAGGAGCUACUGUGAAGUGGAUGUGGGAAAAUGGUGAUUCAAGACUUGAGUGUUGGCUUCUGUGAACUGGUGCACUGGAAAAUCUGCACGACAGGCUUCUGCUGCAAAACUGUAUUUAUUCUCUAUCUAUGGUGCAGUUCUGUUUAGUCCGAAAUCUCGGGAUAGGCUUCGUGUCCGUGUUUACACUACCUAUUCAUUUGAUUCCCGUUAACAUAAGUGCAUAAAGGGAUUGGAGAUGGUUGCAAGUGGGUGAAUUGGCUGACUGCAAUCAGUUGAAGAAUAA